rnacentral:tRNA from 1 species
GGAUUUGUAGUUCAGUGGUAAGAAUGUCAUAUUGUGGCUGUGGAUAUCUGGGUUUGAAUCCCAGCAGCCA